rnacentral:rRNA from 1 species
GACGAACGCUGGCGGCGUGCCUAACACAUGCAAGUCGAACGGUGAAGCGCCUUCCUGUGUGGUGGGUGUGGAUGAGGGGCGAACGGGUGAGUAACACGUGAGUAACCUGCCCCCUUAUUCUGGAUAACCGCAUGAAAGUGUUGCUAAUACGGGAUAUUCUGGGUAUGUCGCAUGAUGGGUCUGGGAAAGAUAUUGUUUCGGUGGGGGAUGGGCUCGCGGCCUAUCAGCUUGUGGGUGGGGUGAUGGCCUACCAAGGCGGUGACGGGUAGCCGGCCUGAGAGGGUGGCCGGUCACACUGGGGAUGAGGCACGGCCACGACUCCUACGGGAGGCGGCAGUGGGGAAUAUUGCACAAUGGGGGCAAGCCUGAUGCAGAGACGCGGCGUGAGUGAUGGAGGCCUUCGGGUUGUGAACCUCUUUCGCCAGUGAAGCAGGCCUGCCUCGUUUGUGGGUGGGUUGACGGUAGCUGGAUAAGAAGCGCCGGCUAACUACGUG